GCAAAAGCUUCUUUCAUACGAACCCAUAUUUCUCUCUCUACGGUAGAAAAACGACGAAACAAAUCCCUUGGCAAAUUCAAUCGACGAUUAUAGCUCUGUGUCUUCAUCCUAUUGCGAUUUUGCAGUGGCUUUUGUAUGUGUUGAUGUGAUUUGCUAAUUUGCAGCGGCGUUUGUACAUUUUACUGCAUAUUCUGGUAUUUAUACACUCAAAUCGUGAAGUGGAUCGAUUUAAACUUUUCCUUCAGCUUAUGGAAUUUCAAGACAUUUUCCCCCAUUCAACCUUAUUGCAUCGUUUCAAACCUUCCUAACGUACUGUCAAGCAGGAAUUUCGACAGCCGAGAUUACUGUUCCUGGGUCCAGUUUCUUAUGAUUCGGGUUCUCGGGUCGUCGAAUUUAAUAUUUUUGGUGAGGUGAUUUUUCUUCUUCUGCUAGAAUUUUUGGAUUUCUAUUUUAUAGGUUUCAAAUUAAAAGGCUUUGUUUUGUCUGGGUAAAAAUGUAGGUGCUUUAGUGAUAGAUUUUUAAGAUUAUUCCUAUUCGUGUUGUUGUCCAUAUAAGUCACCCUUAGUUUUUGGUUCAAACUUCAUGGGCCUGUAGUAAUAAAGGUAGCGAAAUUGAUUGGAUGUAAUUGAUUUUGUUGUUCAAAAUCCGAGUGAAUGAAAUUUUGUCAAUUUGGACAGCCAACAUCCAUGUAAUCCUCACUUACAUAAAAACAGGCUCUGCAUUUAAUAAAAGAUUUCACAAGAAUUUCUCCCUAAAAAAGAUAUAUCAAAUAUAUCAUUUUGAUAUACUAAAUAAUUAUUUUUCGAUCUUACGACAUGAGGUCCCUUGUCAUGUGACCUGGUUCCCAAAACAAUAUUUAUUUUGAUUUCAUGUGAUUUGAGUACAUUUUCUUAAUAAUUAAUAACGCACAAUAAAUUGUUUAUUUAUUGUUUUAGUCGAGUUUGAAUUCCCUUUUAAUUGUAAUUUUAUUUUGGAGUGGCUUUAAUUUAAUAGUAUGUAAAGCUAUGCCUUGAUAAUGAGAGGUGGAACCACGAAACUUUGUUAUUAGUCCGACAUGUUUGUAGACUUGCUCCAAGAUGGACUGAAUCAAGACAGACUGCAUGAAACGUAAUCUCGAUUGAAAAAAGAAAUAUAAAGAAAAGAGGGUCACAAAUUGGGUACAUGGCAAAUGAUCCAAAGCUGUGAAUUUAUUUUUAAUGCGUGGAUAAUAAAUAGUUAGUAAUUAUAGAAUAAAAUGUAUGAAU